AGGCGGUGUAAGGGGAGUUGCAAAGAAAAAUCGAUUUUUUGACAUGUGGAUGCCACGGAGAAGACGUGCUAAUAUUGAACCUGGAGUUGGAAAAAUGGUUUCAUAUAUUAAUCGAGAGAAAAAAUUAGACUCAAUAAUUGGUCAACGCCCAGUUGAACCUGCUGCCCCGAAAGGGUUAUAUUUAUAUGGAAAUGUUGGAAGUGGAAAGACGAUGCUGAUGGACAUGUUUUAUGGUGCCACCGAAGGGAUUGUUAAACACAGGCGAAGGUUUCACUUUCACGAGGCGAUGCUUGAAAUUCACGAACAUAUGCAUGCUAUAUGGAAGAACCAGGUUGAGGACCAAUCCCGUCAAUCAAAUAUUUCCAGUUGGAUAACUAAUCUACCUUUUGAUUCAAAAGUGAAAGAGUGGUUGAUUGGAGAAGAGAAAUACAAGCAA
rnacentral:misc_RNA from 1 species